AGGGGCGCGGGAAGUGGGGGUGCUGGGGGUGCUGCAGCACCCCCUGGUGGCAGAGAUUUAAAACUGCGAUGACAGUAAAAUUAUAUCUCAUAAAUAUCUCUUGAUUUUGGUUUGUUUCUGUACAAAGACAUUUUGUAUGCCAUGUUGGGUGUGUGAUGAAGAGAGGGAUAAUUUUAGUAAUUUUAAAAUGAUUAAAUUUAUUUCAGUGUGUAUUAGCCAGAUUCUAUCAGAUUCUGUCUUGACGACGUGAUUGCAUUCAGCCGAUAUGCUGUAAUAGGCAUAAGCAUAACACACAAGCACGCACACUCACAGCGACAUACUGAACGCCGAAUGAGUUUAUCUAUCAGCUUUGCAAUGUCUCAAAAGAGAAUUUUGGAUUUUUUUCAAUCACACAACGCAAAAUUCCCGAGGACUAGUUAUUAAGGUAUGUAUUGCUAAUACAUUUUUACAAUGAUUCGCAUUGAUUUACAAUGGUCGCACUAUAUAAAUAGCAUUUUAGUUUGCAUGCGUAAAAAGUGCAUGCAACAAUGAAACACAUAUAAAACGCACAAGAAUGAACUGUGGAGUGUGGUGGCCUAUAUUAGAAGGUCUACUACUCUUAAAAUAAUUUAGCAUGGUUUUAGAAUAUAUUUUAAUCAAAAUAUGUUGGCCCAUUUUGAUAUUUUAAACAUAUUCCGAUGGAAAAAUGCGUCCAAGCUAAGCUAGGUUCAGUAAACGAUUUUCUAGUUCGUCAUCUUUUUAAAAAUAUUUAAAAAUAUAGCCAAAUUGUUUUGCGGUGUUUAACGCACUUGUAAAUGUUACAGAACAUGUGCUUUAUUGAAUGAAAGUAUAAACGGUUGAAUUAAAUUAUUAAAACGACGUAAAAGGAACUAAAUUAUAUAUGUACAAUAAGGAACAUGCAUGCGACAUUUAAAAGGUAUUUCAAAAAAAUUAUAUAAAUUAUUCCCAUGCAUCGAUUUUAAUGUUAAACGUCUAUAAAUUCAAAUGAAUCCAUUUGGAAUAUAUUCCGACAAUUUAGGACAUGAUUUUGGAAUUUCAAAGUCGAAAAAUAUCUUAUUUUUACACCGCAGGAGGCAUGGCAAAGUGAAACAAAACGUAAAGACACAAAUAUUACAUUUACGUGUAAAAUAGAAUUAAAUGAAACCCGUGAAUUGAAAGGACCUUUAUAAUCGCCUUAACUCGAGUAAUGUCAAUAAAGUUAUUAUGUUAGAGUUUAGAAAUAUUAAAAACUUAACCAAAGGACAACAAAAAGGCGUACUACUGGGACCAGUGAGAAUGCAUAUGUGUACAUAAACUGGUUCCAUACCUCCGACUUUCCUCCAAACUUGGUCAAAGUUAAUUCUCCUGUUUUUCUUUUUUCUUUACAUCUUCAAACUCCAUGUUGCACUUAAGCUCCACCAUACCGCACAGCAUGCCCGGUGCGUGAUGCGUGCCAAAGGAGACUCCGCACCUGACUCGCGUUGCAUUUUGUAACUUUUACAAUCAUUUUGUAAUUUGUACUUUGUGUAACUUUUUGGAGACAUUUGUUACUUUGGCCUAAAUUUAGUCAUAAUAUUUCUGAUUAUGGCAUAGCUUUCUCCCCAAUUGGGCUAAUAAAGUAAGGAUUCAAAAUAUGCUUAUAUCGGCCCGGCCCGAGGAUAGUAGCGGAAAAUAACGUCCUGGGCAGAGAAUCUCUACUAUGUUGCAAUAGGCUAUAUAGUUUGUAUGCCCCGUCAGCUCAGCUGUAGGCUACUUUAUGGAUGGGAGGGGCGAGUGAUUUUUUUAAAAGAAGACAUAGGUAGAGUGGUCUGCAGAAUACAGAGCUUGUGAACAACAUUAGAAUUCUAUAACUCUAUUCUAUAACCCCGCACCCCCUACCGAAAAUAUCUUCCCGCGCCUCUGCCGCUAUCUCUAACUUCUCUAAAUAGCGCUUUUUGUGAGGACCUACCAAAUGCCCUACCUCGACCGAUAACGGCACAACAACUUCCUUAAUAUAAGAAGCCAUGUAUUUUAGUGUAAUAUAUAUUUAAACUGUUUAAAACUAAUCAAAAAUCCCGCUCGUCUAUUACUAAUCAACCUAUUCCUUCAGUGAUUUUGCCGUCCAGCAUGGCGUCGUCACGUGGUCUAGGUCACGUGUUUGCAAAGGGUCUAUUCACCUUAUUUUCCACGACAACAAGGGCGGCGCCAUUGCGCUCAUAUUGUCAACGUACUUCCGGCUGCAUAUGAUGAGCAGCUGAGGCAGUGGCUGAAGGCGACGCGUUAAACCUAAAAAGCUCACUUAAGCGCCUUUAUGUUUGUUUCUUACCAAUUUUAACGGACGGGGAGCCGAUUGAGGAACACCCUAAUCCCAAGUAAUGGUUCGACUACGAUGUUCCGGUAACUUUAAACCACGCCGGGUGUUGAAAAGGUGGUCAGUUUCAGGGAUGCAAUGGACAACUGUGAGGAUGAUACAAUCAACAUGUUCCUAAACUGUGAUGCAGAAACACAAUGGGAGGAUCAAUCCGUCUCUGAACACAACUACACUUUAAAAUCACAACUCAACCUGAAGCAACCUACAUCUGAUAUGGGAAAACAACCUUGCGGUUUCCCGGACAGGGCUUAUGCUGGUCCCAGGCUAAAAUGCUUAUUUGAGCUAUGAUAAUUAAAAAACACCAUGUACUGACAUACCUCAACAUAUAUGAGUGCCAUUGUUUUGUCACAAGAUGUGGUUUGUUUGUAAAAACUAAAAUGUCCUAAUAUAAUUAAGGCCUAGUCCUGUAAACUCUGUCCGAGAAACUGCUUCAAUGCUUCUGCUUCAUGUGUUGAGCUGGCACAAAUGUACAUAUCUCUGCUGAGAAACAACCAUCUUUGUCAGCUUUACACAGGGUUGAUAUUGCAUGCAUUACACAGUCGCUAAGCACGUCACCAGUACAUACAACAACAGCUUCCAGAUAAACACUUGGGAUCAGCUCCUGAUGACUCUGAUAAAGCUGCAUCUUAAUUCAUUGCAGGGUGGUCUUGCUGAAAAGUUAGUUGUUUCUUAGUCCAUAGUUAUUUUUUAUAAACCUUUACAAUUUGACCUGAUUUUACCUGUUGUAAAGUUACAUUUAAACCUUCAUAUGUGAUCAGAUGUCAUGCAGUGAUAUUAAACAUUUACAAUGUGA